rnacentral:rRNA from 1 species
CAACAGGGAUUGCCCUAGUAACGGCGAGUGAAGCGGCAACAGCUCAAAUUUGAAAUCUGGCCCCUUUGGGGUCCGAGUUGUAAUUUGCAGAGGGUGCUUUGGCGUUGGCAGCGGUCUAAGUUCCUUGGAACAGGACAUCGCAGAGGGUGAGAAUCCCGUAUGUGGUCGCAUGCCUCCGCCGUGUAAAGCCCCUUCGACGAGUCGAGUUGUUUGGGAAUGCAGCUCUAAAUGGGAGGUAAAUCUCUUCUAAAGCUAAAUACCGGCCAGAGACCGAUAGCGCACAAGUAGAGUGAUCGAAAGAUGAAAAGCACUUUGGAAAGAGAGUCAAACAGCACGUGAAAUUGUUGAAAGGGAAGCGCUUGCAGCCAGACUUGCCUGUAGUUGCUCACCCGGGCUCCUGCCCGGGGCACUCUUCUGCAGGCAGGCCAGCAUCAGUUUGGGCGGUCGGAUAAAGGGCUCUGACACGUACUUCCCCUCGGGGUUGACAUACAGGGGAGCCGCAAUGCGAUCAGCCCGGACUGAGGUCCGCGCAUCUGCUAGGAUGCUGGCGUAAUGGCUGUAAGCGG